GUCUAAAACAUUAUUUUUUCUAAACACUAUUUGCUGAUUUUUAUGCACAAUAAAGGUAAGAUGAUUGCUCUGGUGAAAUAUCACUAAAUAAGAAUGUCACGGAUGGAAUUUAUACAGUGUUAAAAGCAAUGCGUUUCUUUGUCUGCCGGCCAUCAGUAAUAUCCUCUGUACCGGCUCCUCGUUGCCAAAGUGAAGGUUAGAUUAAACGAAUCAAAAAAUAUCCGAACUGUACAAUUUUUAUAUCAAACAUAUUUAACUGCAAAAUACUGCAAACGUGCGCGAAUACACUUAAUCAGUAGUAUGG
rnacentral:misc_RNA from 1 species